rnacentral:rRNA from 1 species
GGAGUUAGCCGGUGCUUCUUCUGUGAGUGAUGUCCUUCCUGCCGGCUAUUAACCCGCAGGCCUUCUUCCUCACUGAAAGUGCUUUACAACCCGAAGGCCUUCUUCACACACGCGGCAUGGAUGGAUCAGGGUUGCCCCCAUUGUCCAAUAUUCCCCACUGCUGCCUCCCGUAGGAGUCUGGGCCGUGUCUCAGUCCCAGUGUGGCUGAUCAUCCUCUCAGACCAGCUACGGAUCGUCGCCUUGGUGAGCCGUUACCUCACCAACCAGCUAAUCCGACAUAGGCUCAUCCGAUAGCGCGAGGCCCGAAGGUCCCCCGCUUUCCCCCGUAGGGCGUAUGCGGUAUUAGCCUGGGUUUCCCCAGGUUAUCCCCCACUACCGGGCAGAUUCCUAUGCAUUACUCACCCGUCCGCCGCUCGCCACCAGGGAGCAAGCUCCCCGUGCUGCCGCUCGACUUGCAUGUGUUAGGCCUGCCGCCAGCGUUCAAUCUGAGCCAGGAUCAAACUCUGA